AAAACACUGGAGCUCUGGUAAAUGACAUGGCUCCAUGGAUUCCUUCCUCUAUGUGGUCAUGAGUAACUGGAACCCCAACAUUUCUAAGCCGUGUGACAUACAUGAGACCAUCAUCUCUUAUAAGAUAAAAUAAGCUACUUGUGAAGCCGAGGUGGUUAUCUAGUCCUGAGAAAGCCAAGUCUAUGUUGAGAAUGCAAGGGCUGUGGAAAAUAGAAAUACCCGUUUUCAAGAAGUCAAAAGACCUUGGACAUCUAGACAUCUAAAGAAGAAGGGAAAACUUUCCAGAAAAAAUUACCAAGCAAAGAAAAAUUUGACCUAAUGGUACCAAUAUUCCCUCCUACCUU